AGUUGCAUAGACAACUAGGAUGUUGGCUCAGAAGCAGCCAUCAUUUAAAGAGUGCGUAAUAGCUCACUAGUCGAGUGAUUCUGCGCCGAAAAUGUACCGGGGCUAAGCAUAUUACCGAAACUGUGGAUGUGUCCUUUUGGACACGUGAUAGGAGAGCGUUCUAAGGGCGACGAAGUUAGACCGUGAGGACUAGUGGAGCGCUUAGAAGUGAGAAUGCCGGUAUGAGUAGCGAAAGACAGGUGAGAAUCCUGUCCACCGAAUGACUAAGGUUUCCUGGGGAAGGCUCGUCCUCCCAGGGUAAGUCGGGACCUAAGGCGAGGCCGAGAGGCGUAGUCGAUGGAUAACAGGUUGAGAUUCCUGUACCAGUUAAAUGCGUUUGAAUGAUGGAGGGACGCAGGAGGCUAAGCAAACCAGACGAUUGGAAGUGUCUGGCCAAGCAGUAAGUCAGGUUUAGAGUCAAAUGCUUUAAGCCGGGUUGACAAGCUGUGAUGGGGAGCGAAAUUAAAGUAGCGAAGUUGCCGAUGUCACACUGCCGAGAAAAGCUUCUAGUGAGUAUUUAACUGCCCGUACCGCAAACCGACACAGGUAGUCGAGGAGAGAAUCCUAAGGUGAGCGAGUGAACUCUCGUUAAGGAACUCGGCAAAAUGACCCCGUAACUUCGGGAGAAGGGGUGCUGGUCGCAAGACCAGCCGCAGUGAAAAGGCCCAGGCGACUGUUUAUCAAAAACACAGGUUUCUGCAAAAUCGUAAGAUGAAGUAUAGGGGCUGACGCCUGCCCGGUGCUGGAAGGUUAAAAGGAAGAGUUAGCUUCGGCGAAGCCCUGAAUUGAAGCCCCAGUAAACGGCGGCCGUAACUAUAACGGUCCUAAGGUAGCGAAAUUCCUUGUCGGGUAAGUUCCGACCCGCACGAAAGGCGUAACGAUCUGGGCACUGUCUCAACGAGAGACUCGGUGAAAUUGAAUUGCCUGUGAAGAUGCAGGCUACCCGCGACAGGACGGAAAGACCCCAUGGAGCUUUACUGUAGCUUGAUAUUGAGUGUUUGUACUACUUGUACAGGAUAGGUAGGAGCCGUAGAAACCGGGACGCUAGUUUCGGUGGAGGCAUUGGUGGGAUACUACCCUUGUAUUAUGACCACUCUAACCCGCACCACUGAUCGUGGUGGGAGACAGUGUCAGGUGGGCAGUUUGACUGGGGCGGUCGCCUCCCAAAAGGUAACGGAGGCGCCCAAAGGUUCGCUCAGAAUGGUUGGAAAUCAUUCGCAGAGUGUAAAGGCACAAGCGAGCUUGACUGCGAGACAGACAGGUCGAGCAGGGACGAAAGUCGGGCUUAGUGAUCCGGUGGUUCCGCAUGGAAGGGCCAUCGCUCAACGGAUAAAAGCUACCCUGGGGAUAACAGGCUUAUCUCCCCCAAGAGUCCACAUCGACGGGGAGGUUUGGCACCUCGAUGUCGGCUCAUCGCAUCCUGGGGCUGUAGUCGGUCCCAAGGGUUGGGCUGUUCGCCCAUUAAAGCGGUACGCGAGCUGGGUUCAGAACGUCGUGAGACAGUUCGGUCCCUAUCCGUCGCGGGCGUAGGAAAUUUGAGAGGACCUGUCCUUAGUACGAGAGGACCGGGAUGGACAUACCGCUGGUGUACCAGUUGUUCCGCCAGGAGCAUCGCUGGGUAGCUAUGUAUGGAUGAGAUAAACGCUGAAAGCAUCUAAGUGUGAAACUCGCCUCGAGAUGAGAUUUCCCAUUCCCUUCG
rnacentral:rRNA from 1 species